UCCGGGUUGGUCCCGGCAGUCGGCUUAGGAAACUAACUAAGCCCGGGGGUUGCGCUCGUUGCGGGACUUAACCCAACACCUUACCUGGGUUUGACAUGUUGGUGUCCCGAAGGAAAAGUGUGUUUCCACACCGGUCACCAACAUGUCAAACCCAGGUAAGGUUCUUCGCGUUGCGUCGAAUUAAACCACAUGCUCCGCUGCUUGUGCGGGCCCCCGUCAAUUCCUUUGAGUUUUAGCCUUGCGGCCGUACUCCCCAGGCGGGGCACUUAAUGCGUUAGCGGCGGCGCGGGGGGAGUCGACACCCCCCACACCUAGUGCCCAUCGUUUACGGCGUGGACUAC
rnacentral:misc_RNA from 1 species